GGCUAAUCUUUCGUUAGAGAUGUGGGUUGCACCAUGUUGGCCAGGCUGGUCGCGAACUCCUGAGCUCAGGCAAUUCGCCCGCAUCGGCCUCCCAAAAUGCGGUGAUUACAGGCGAGAGUCACCCUGUAUUUAUAGGCGCCUGGCCUAUACUUAGAUUCUCUUUUGCUCUCCAGAUAGCCUUUUGCCUUGAACCCGCCUCACCUGUUUGGAACUGCCACACCUCCGGACUUCAACCUGGGGCCGGGGUGCCUCGGGUGUGCCUGCAGGGAAGAGAAAAGAAAGCAGAGACAUCGUGAUCUAGAUUCUCUCCUCAAAGAAAAAAAAAUCCUCCUCGUGGGAAGUGGCUGCUGAUUUAAACAUCAAAGACAACAGCCCUCAACCACAUUUGACCGAAAUUUCCUGAGCUCCUGGUUUACAUGUGAAUGCACAGCACGGCAAUUUGUUCCAAUGAGGAGCCCUGAGGUUUGCGCCAGCCGCUCUCAGGGGUACGUUUUGUGCCGAGCAGGAUGUUCAAGACAGACUGCGCGCGGGUUUCGGGCACCGCCGAACAUGGCUUCCCUGUUCCGUUUCUAAUUUACAGCCUGAAGGUAAAAAGUACACUGAUCAAAUCCUUAUUAGGAGGAGCAGCGGGGGCGGAAUAAGCGAGCUGGGGAGGCGGCCGCGGGGCUGCCUGUUGCCCAGCAACGAUGCCAGCCGCAGCCUGUGCUCCCCCAAAAGCCCGAGAGCACCGCGGCAGGCAGCCAGGAAGGAGGAUGGGGCAGGGGAGCCGGCGGCUAAAGCAGACGGCGGGGUGGGGGGGGUGGCGCGCAGAAACCCCUAUAGGGACCCAUGCAACCCGCUUUCUCACCCUGGGAGACUACGCAAGGCUUUUUUUUUUUUUGAUACUGAUGUUCGAAAUCAAAAAGUGCACUGAUCAAAUCCGUAUUAGGAGGAUAUGAUUUAAUCAGUGUACCGUUUAAAUCCCCCUACACCCCUCCCCCCGACUGCCCUCUCUCCUACUUUUCAUUGGCCAGCAACUUUCCAACAAAGGCCCAGUGGCAAAGACAGCCAGCCUUUCCCUGCCUGGCUGGUCAGUUUCUUUCUGAAAGAAGCAAAAGGCUCAGCUCCAGCUUUCGGGACUAACUGCUCAGCAGGGCAAGUCAAAGUCCCUGUGGCUGGCCCAGAGUGCCUGGUAAGCUGCAGAAGCUGCGGAUGGCGAAGCGUAGAUACCAGCUUUCACCAUAGGAGGACAGCGCCCUCUGCUGGCAGUAUCCUGAAGGGUCAGUUCACCGGGCUUCUGGUCCCCACAAAGUCUUGAAUUCUGUGGUGCUGAUAUGGAACAAAUAUGGUGAGCUCAUUCUUGCCCUCUGGAGAAAUAACGAAAUGGAAGGGAGAAAACUGGGGCAAGAAGACCGAGGGAACAUAGAAGGUCCAUUGCAGGAGGUGUGGCCUUAUUUUUGGGAUUCUCCUGAUCUGGCAAGAACAAACACAAAAGCCUCAUUUAUUUCCCCACGGAAAAACCCAGCGCACAACCAAAGUCCAGUUUAAUGCGAAGGUGGCAGAUGCCCCUACUCCUACCCCCGUGCUCCCCACGCCCAGCCGGGCUGGGGAUGCUUUGUUUGAAAUACACAAUUCCCAUUGGCUUAA